rnacentral:snRNA from 1 species
AUACUUACCUGGUGCAGGGGUUACCCUGAUCAUUGAGGGGGUGCCUCCAGGGAGGACACGGGCAUUGCACUGCGCCCGUGUUGGCCCUGCCACUAUCCCGUCACUGGGAGGUGGGGCACUUAAUUUUUGGUAGCGGGGAACUGCGCCAGAGCGGAUCCCCU